UGCUCUCAGGGACAGGGUUGGAUUGAAAAAUUUCUGUUCCUGUUGCAAGCCCUGGAUUAAGAAAUACCUUUAUUCUCUUCCCGUCCAGCUGCCCACUGGAUGUUCUUCAGUUGAAAAGAAGGAAGAUGUGAUUUCUUAGGUCAAAGAAACUGAUAUUCCUGGAAAAACAGGCCAGGGUCUGCACACUCAGGCUCUCCUUCGAGCCUGAGCAGCAACAGGCAGCUCCCAAUUCUUCUUCAGUGCUGGUUUACCAGUUUGGGAUGGGCAAGAUUAUUGUGGCUGUGAUCAUGGAAGAACCCAGACUCUUUGAUCCUCCACUUCUCACACGGUAGUUUAGAGUCUGGCUGCACUGUGGAGCAAGUCAGCUGGAGACCUGGGUGAGAAACUUGUGCUCACUGUCAAGGGAGUGGUAGAAGAGGGAACGAGCCUGGGCUCCAUCCUUGAGAGGUACCGGGGUUGUGACUGUCACUGUUGUGGUCCAUGUUCACCCACAGCUCUCCUGAAAUAUUCCACAAUACCUUCAACUCUUCCUUUUCCACUUUCUCUGGUUCAAUACCCCUCUACAAAAUCUGUAAAGAAAACACAGCAUCCCCCCUCUGCUUUUCUGCUUUGCAGGGAAGCACUUUUAUCCCUGUUUCUCAUGGCUGGAAGAGGUUUGCUGGAGCUGUGAAGAGAAUUGGGAGCCAUCCAGCUGAUACCGUGUCAGUACAGCAGCACAAGGUCCCUUCCCAGGCUAUUGGCAAGGCUGCAGACACCUGAUGAUGAUGAUAAUCAUGAUAAUAAAACCCACCAACAACUCAGCUCAGGAAGGUACAGGAGUGGACUUCCAAAGAGAACAAGCAAUGAGAAGUGCAAGCAGGGCACCACUGGGUAUUUUCAAAGCAUCAGUCAAAUCCAGUUAACCUCCAGAUCACUGCACUGGGUGAAAUCAGAGGCAUUAGCAGCCAAAGUUGACCCACAGCCUCAAAUCUCUGCACAUAAGCCUGCAUCUGUUCCGGGCAGGCAGGUCUUUCAUCAGCAGAUGAAGGUUCUGUUUGUACCUCCGUGCGUGUGCAAGUACGUACAGGACCAGUCCUUCCUGAGCGAACACACACCGUUCCCAGCCCUGGCAGCAUCCUGGGGCCUCCCUCCCUUCUGCACUUAGGUACAAAGAGCAUUCAUUGUGUUCAGCAGCUCCUGCUGGGUA